rnacentral:sRNA from 1 species
CUUGAAAUACCAGUCAAGCAAAGGUAGUGCAGAGU